rnacentral:lncRNA from 1 species
AUGAGCCUCUGGAUUCCCAACUACUACCCUGCCUCUGGAGGAAGGUCUCCCCACCCUGCCCCUGGAGAAUGCUCCUCAAACUUUCUCCUCAGUGUCAUUCACCAGCUAAGAGGCAUGGAGAGGAACAAAGAUGUGAGCACAAACCCAGGUCCCCCGUCUCUGGCUCUUCUCACAUGGGAGAGCUGGCUGAAAACCAACACUUCCAGAUCCGAAAGGGGAGAAGCCCAGGGAGAGGGGAAGAAGCCUGCUCUCUCUGCACUGCUGUGAGUACCAAGAGAAGAUGAAUGCAAUGCUCUAGGAGCUCUGCUGUCUCCUGAGCAAGAGAUGCCUCCAUUGAUUACAUUCCCAUCUGGAAAACACGGUCCUUGGAAUAGUGCUUGGCUGAUCCUGUCACUGGACUAUGAAAACUGAAUUACCUCUGCCUCAACUCAUUUCUCCCACAUGGAGCAUUUGGAAAAAGAACUGGGGAGAGGUUGAAGAGGAAGGGGGCCCAGGGUGUGGCAGGGAAACAAGGAUGGGCUGGAGAUAGAGCAUGUGAAGACAUGGUGGUGUGGGGCUAUGCCCCUGGCACUUCUGGGGGGCAAAUAGAAGGGCCCACGCAGGACUGAGCAGGGGCUUAGGAGCUGGGCCUGAGAUCAGAGCCCUCUCAGCCCAGGUGCUGCCCACGGAGACAGUGUUGCUUCAGCACUGCCUCUGCACUUCCCACUCAACGAAGACUCCUUC